rnacentral:rRNA from 1 species
GACGAACGCUGGCGGCGUGCCUAACACAUGCAAGUCGAACGGUAAGGCCCUGCUUUUGUUGGGUGCUCGAGUGGCGAACGGGUGAGUAACACGUGAGUAACCUGCCCUUGACUUUGGGAUAACUUUAGGAAACUGUGGCUAAUACCGCAUAGGAGCACCUGCUGCAUGGCGGGGGCUGGAAAGUUUCGGUGGUUGCGGAUGGACUUGGGGCUUCUCAGCUUGUUGGUGGGGUAGUGGAAUACCAAGGCUUUGACGGGUAGCCGGCCUGGGAGGGUGACCGGCCACAGUGUGACUGAGAUACGGCCCGGACGCCUACGGGAGGCAGCAGUGGGAGAUAGUGCGCGAUGGGCGGAGGCCUUAAGCAGCAACGCCGCGUGCGGGAUGACGGCCUUCGGGUAGUAAACCGCUUUCGCCUGUAACGAAGCGUGAGUGACGGUAAUGGAUAAAGAAGAACCGGCUAACUACGUG